CGAAAAUGUUGUCUCUCUUGAGUGGAUCCUGAGUACGACGGAGCACGUGAAAUUCCGUCGGAAUCUGGGAGGACCAUCUCCUAAGGCUAAAUACUCUCUAGUGACCGAUAGUGAACCAGUACCGUGAGGGAAAGGUGAAAAGCACCCCGGAAGGGGAGUGAAAUAGAACCUGAAACCGUGUGCUUACAAGUAGUCAGAGCCCGUUAAUGGGUGAUGGCGUGCCUUUUGUAGAAUGAACCGGCGAGUUACGAUUUGAUGCAAGGUUAAGCAGUAAAUGUGGAGCCGUAGCGAAAGCGAGUCUGAAUAGGGCGUUUAGUAUUUGGUCGUAGACCCGAAACCAGGUGAUCUACCCUUGGUCAGGUUGAAGUUCAGGUAACACUGAAUGGAGGACCGAACCGACUUACGUUGAAAAGUGAGCGGAUGAACUGAGGGUAGCGGAGAAAUUCCAAUCGAACCUGGAGAUAGCUGGUUCUCUCCGAAAUAGCUUUAGGGCUAGCCUCAAGUGAUGAUUAUUGGAGGUAGAGCACUGUUUGGACGAGGGGCCCCUCUCGGGUUACCGAAUUCAGACAAACUCCGAAUGCCAAUUAAUUUAACUUGGGAGUCAGAACAUGGGUGAUAAGGUCCGUGUUCGAAAGGGAAACAGCCCAGACCACCAGCUAAGGUCCCAAAAUAUAUGUUAAGUGGAAAAGGAUGUGGCGUUGCCCAGACAACUAGGAUGUUGGCUUAGAAGCAGCCAUCAUUUAAAGAGUGCGUAAUAGCUCACUAGUCGAGUGACACUGCGCCGAAAAUGUACCGGGGCUAAACAUAUUACCGAAGCUGUGGAUUGUCCUUUGGACAAUGGUAGGAGAGCGUUCUAAGGGCGUUGAAGCAUGAUCGUAAGGACAUGUGGAGCGCUUAGAAGUGAGAAUGCCGGUGUGAGUAGCGAAAGACGGGUGAGAAUCCCGUCCACCGAUUGACUAAGGUUUCCAGAGGAAGGCUCGUCCGCUCUGGGUUAGUCGGGUCCUAAGCUGAGGCCGACAGGCGUAGGCGAUGGAUAACAGGUUGAUAUUCCUGUACCACCUAUAAUCGUUUUAAUCGAUGGGGGGACGCAGUAGGAUAGGCGAAGCGUGCGAUUGGAUUGCACGUCUAAGCAGUAAGGCUGAGUAUUAGGCAAAUCCGGUACUC
rnacentral:rRNA from 1 species